rnacentral:rRNA from 1 species
UACAGAGGUCCCAAGCGUUGUUCGGAUUCACUGGGCGUAAAGGGUGCGUAGGUGGUUAGGUAAGUCCGAUGUGAAAUCUCCAGGCUCAACCUGGAAAUGGCAUUGGAUACUAUUUAGCUUGAGGAGUGGAGGGGGGACUGGAAUUCUCGGUGUAGCAGUGAAAUGCGUAGAUAUCAGGAGGAACACCGGUGGCGAAGGCGGGUCUCUGGGCCGAUACUGACGCUGAGGAGCGAAAGCGUGGGGAGCGAACAGG